rnacentral:rRNA from 1 species
GAUGAACGCUGGCGGCAUGCCUAAUACAUGCAAGUCGAACGAGAGGAAGGAAAGCUUGCUUUCCUGAAUCUAGUGGCGAACGGGUGAGUAACACGUAGGUAACCUGCCCAUGUGCCCAGGAUAACUUCUGGAAACGGAUGCUAAAACCGGAUAGGUAGCAGACAAGCAUUUGACUGCUAUUAAAGUGGCCUUGGCCAUGAACGUGGAUGGACCUGCGGUGCAGUAGGUAGUUGGUGAGGUAACGGCCCACCAAGGCGACGAUGCAUAGCCGGCCUGAGAGGGCGGACGGCCACAUUUGGACUGAGACACGGCCCAAACUCCUACGGGAGACAGCAGUAGGGAAUUUUCGUCAAUGGGGGGAACCCUGAACGAGCAAUGCCGCGUGAGUGAAGAAGGUCUUCGGAUCGUAAAGCUCUGUUGUAAGAGAAAAACGGCACUCAUAGGGAAUGAUGAGUGAGUGAUGGUAUCUUACCAGAAAGUCACGGCUAACUACGUGCCAGCAGCCGCGGUAAAAC